GCGCAUCUGUGCAUGCAGCAUAUCAAUAAGCGGAGGAAAAGAAACUAACAAGGAUUCCCCUAGUAACGGCGAGUGAAGCGGGAAGAGCUCAAAUUUGAAAUCUUAAAGGGUUUCCCUUUACGAAUUGUAGUUUAAAGAAGUGUUUUCUGUUGAGGUUUUGGUAAAAGUUCUUUGGAAUAGGACAUCAUAGAGGGUGAGAAUCCCGUAUUUGACCUUUACUUUCAACUUUGUGAUACACUUUCAAAGAGUCGGAUUGUUUGGGAAUGCAGUCCAAAAUGGGUGGUAAAUUUCAUCUAAAGCUAAAUAUUGGCGAGAGACCGAUAGCGAACAAGUACCGUGAGGGAAAGAUGAAAAGAACUUUGAAAAGAGAGUUAAACAGUACGUGAAAUUGUCAAAAGGGAAGCGUUUCGACACCAGUGUUGUUUUUCUGAAAAUCAAUUAAAGAACUGUUUAUGCUAAGCUGUUUAGACUUUAUCAGCUAUCUGUUUAGUUUUGAGCUUUUCUUUAAUGCACUUUUCAGUUAACAAGUCAACAUCAAUUUCUUUUGCUGUAAAAAAGCUUGAGGAAGGUGGCUUGAGAUUCGUCUUAAGUGUUUAUAGCCUCUUGCCUAUGCAGUCGGAGAGAUUGAGGUCUGCAGCGUAGAUCCUUCGGGGCUAAAUGCAUUUGUGCUAAGUUAUAGCAUUUUAUAGACAACUUGUUGACUAUGAUUUGUCUUGUAGCUUACUCGCUUAUGUUAUUUUACCUACGCUUAGGAUGUUGAAUCUGUGCGAGACUAC
rnacentral:rRNA from 1 species